CCGUUGAGGGGAUCCGCCGGGGUGCUUCACCUGGCAGGCAAGAAAUCACGGUAGAAGUCCGGCGAUGGGGAUUCAGCCUGAGCGAGCGCCGCACGUCACGGCGGGAGGGGCCACGAGCGCUGAAUCGAGGUAAGAUCAACACGAGAUGCUUUGCAUUUUAUUAGAGAUCAACACAUGUGUAUUAAAUGCAACAUAUACUGUCUAGUAAAACAUAUCUUCAAAAAGCUACUCCCUCCGUCCCAAAAAGAGUGUCGUUUUAGGUUUUUGUGCCAUAAGUUUAACUCGAUUUGUAGAAAAUAUAUGCAAUAUUUAUAUCUCUAAAUAAAUUUAUUAAAAAACUAGACUUAAAGAUCUUUCCAAUGAUAUUAAUUAUGUACUAUAAAUACUAAUAUUUUUUUACUAUAUAUUUAGUUAAAGUUAUUUCUCGAGAAGCGAAAACGACACUUAUUUUGGGACGGAGGGAGUACAUAUAUAUAAAAGCAACAUUCGUUUGUCUAGUGAAACAUAUCUUCAAAAAGCUACAUUUUGUUAGAGAUAAACGCAUGUGUAUUAACUGCAACAUAUUUUGAAAAUCAAUAUAUUUGUGGAUACCGCAACAUAUAUCUAAAAGCAACAUUCGUUUUUCGUACAUGCUACAUUUGGGUUUCGUACAGGCUACAUAUGUUUAUUAAAGUGAACAUAUAGUUAAAGUGAACGUAUUGUAAAAACAACAUGGGUUGUAAAGUGAAACACAUCUUCUAAAUGCUACAUUUGGUUAGAGAUCAACACAUAUGUAUUAACUGCAACAUAUAGUGAAAAUCAACAUAUAUUAUACCGCAAAAUAUAGAUAUCUGUGUAUACCGCAAUAUGUAAUUAAAAGCAACAUAUAUCUAAAAUCAACAUCUUUGUAUAUACCGCAACAUGUAACUAAAAGGAACAUAUAUCAAAAAUCAACAUAUUUGUGUAUACCGCAAUAUGUAACUAAAAGGAACAUUCGUUUGUAUAGUGAAACAUUUCUUCAAAAGCUACAUUUUCAUAGAGAUCAACACAUGUGUACUAACUGCAACAUAUAAUGAAAAUCAACAUAUUUAUGUAUACCACAUAUCUAAAAGCUUGAACAUAUUUGUAUAUUACAACAUUUAAAUAACAACAACAUAAAUUGCUGAGCCAAAACGGACAAGCACUGUGCCAGCCAAAACGGACAAGCACUGUACCAGCCAGAACGGACUAUCGGUGUUGCCUUUAGAAAUCUGUUGAUUUAAUCAUAAGUAUGAAACAGUAAUCUUACUUUCUUACUUUUUAUUUGUGGGAGAGGGAGAUCAAACCGAGAAGCUUCACAUGCCUUGUCUGAAGAAUCCAUCGAUCUAAUCACCCCAUUACGAUCUCUUUUGUUUUAUUUCAUCAAGCUGAGACGUUUCACAUGCCUUGUCGGGAGAAACCGCUGUUGGCGCAAGUGGCCCAAAUUAGCCUGCUGGUGCUGGAUGGCCCGACUCUUCGUAGAAACCCUAGCUGUCCACGGAGCGUGAGCAAGCGCCGCACGGCACGACACGCCACCACCAGCGCCACCGCGGGCCCUCUCCCCGGCGCACCCGCGUGACUUUGUCGCGCGUGGCUGCGUCGAGGGGAUCUGCCGGGGUGUUUCAC
rnacentral:lncRNA from 1 species